GAAAGCUGCCGCUGAAGCUGCAGCCGUUGCCUCCGCCGCCAAGAGUGAGCGAGCGGAGCCGCGAUGGAUGCCGGGGAUACAACAACUCUGCCUUUGUGGAACUUAACAUCCUAUGGAGAGCAGAUGGAUUGGAAUUAGUGUAAUGAAAGAAAGAAAACAGGUGUUCUGACAAAAAUAGGAUACAUACUGAAAUGUGGAUGAAGUGAUAGGUCAGGAAUUUGCUUCAAGGAUCUGGGAGAGGCAGAAGCAUAGAUAUGAAUGGCUGCUAGUUGAUCAUUGAAUCUGGAUGAGACCAUGGCGAGCCCAGGGAAAGACAAUUAUCGAAUGAAGAGCUAUAAGAACAAUGCUCUAAACCCUGAAGAAAUGAGACGAAGAAGAGAGGAAGAGGGCAUUCAGCUCCGGAAGCAGAAGCGGGAGCAACAACUUUUUAAACGGAGAAAUGUGGAGCUGAUUAAUGAAGAAGCUGCCAUGUUCGAUAGUCUUCUCAUGGACUCUUAUGUGAGCUCUACCACUGGGGAGAGUGUGAUCACAAGAGAGAUGGUGGAGAUGCUCUUUUCUGAUGAUUCUGACCUGCAGUUAGCAACCACACAGAAAUUCCGGAAACUGCUCUCCAAAGAGCCUAGUCCUCCAAUAGAUGAAGUUAUCAACACUCCAAGAGUGGUGGAUCGGUUCGUGGAGUUUCUGAAGAGGAAUGAGAAUUGUACAUUACAGUUUGAAGCUGCCUGGGCUCUAACGAAUAUUGCCUCUGGAACCUCUCAGCAGACCAAAAUUGUCAUUGAAGCAGGGGCUGUCCCCAUUUUUAUAGAGCUGCUUAAUUCAGACUUUGAGGAUGUUCAGGAACAGGCAGUCUGGGCACUGGGAAACAUAGCUGGAGAUAGCUCUGUUUGCCGAGAUUACGUCUUGAACUGUUCCAUCCUUAAUCCUUUGUUAACACUCCUUACCAAGUCCACACGACUGACGAUGACACGGAAUGCGGUCUGGGCCCUGUCAAAUCUCUGCCGAGGGAAAAACCCACCCCCAGAGUUUGCAAAGGUCUCUCCUUGUUUGCCUGUACUGUCUCGCCUACUCUUCAGCAGCGACUCGGACUUGCUGGCAGAUGCUUGCUGGGCCCUUUCUUAUCUGUCUGAUGGCCCCAAUGAGAAGAUCCAGGCAGUCAUAGACUCCGGAGUCUGCCGGAGAUUGGUAGAGCUGCUGAUGCACAAUGAUUACAAAGUGGCUUCUCCUGCCCUGAGAGCCGUGGGUAACAUCGUCACUGGGGAUGACAUCCAGACCCAGGUCAUUCUUAACUGUUCAGCCCUACCUUGCCUUCUCCACUUGUUGAGCAGUCCCAAGGAGUCAAUCCGGAAGGAAGCUUGCUGGACUAUUUCAAAUAUUACUGCUGGCAACAGGGCUCAAAUACAGGCUGUUAUAGAUGCAAAUAUCUUCCCUGUGUUGAUCGAAAUCCUUCAGAAAGCAGAGUUUCGUACAAGGAAAGAGGCAGCCUGGGCCAUCACCAAUGCCACAUCAGGAGGAACCCCUGAGCAGAUCAGGUACCUGGUCUCACUGGGCUGCAUCAAACCCCUAUGUGACUUGCUGACUGUAAUGGAUUCGAAGAUUGUGCAAGUGGCCCUCAAUGGACUGGAGAACAUCCUGCGGCUUGGAGAGCAAGAGGGCAAGCGCAGUGGCUCAGGGGUCAAUCCUUAUUGUGGCCUCAUAGAGGAAGCCUAUGGCUUGGAUAAAAUUGAGUUUCUCCAGAGCCACGAGAACCAGGAGAUCUACCAGAAGGCCUUCGACCUCAUUGAGCACUACUUUGGUGUAGAAGACGAUGAUAGCAGCCUGGCUCCCCAAGUCGAUGAAACGCAACAGCAGUUCAUCUUCCAGCAGCCUGAGGCCCCCAUGGAGGGCUUCCAGCUAUAAUAUCUGCCUCCGGGGAGGGGAGGGGAUGGGAAGCACCACCAGCCAGCGGAAGAGCAGCCCUCUGGUGGGCGGGAAACCAGUGUCCCCACCAUCAGCCACCACACACCUCUGCUGCCCUGGAGACUGUGCUCUUGACCUGCUCCGCCCCCUUCCCUGGAGGGAGCACCCUCUGGACAGACAGAACCAUCUGAGGCUCACCUUUGGGUUUUGUGACAAGAAGGGGACGUGUUGGGUUUUUCUUCCUUACACUAUAUUUUGGCUGCACACAUGUCUUUAACCCAGGAGCCCAGGGGUAGACAAAGGAGGACUAAGGUAGGUCAAUCUUAAUUGGUCUCAAGAGGAAGAACUGUCUGUCAUUUCGGUAAGUAGGAUACUGUGAGGAAGACCAAAAAGAGAUAUGGAUGCUUCCUCGCUCAGGAGGCCUGAGCUUGGUCCUUUUCCUCUCUGCUUGGAUUCUGGACCACCACCUGGGACCAACCUUCAGCUCUGGAACCUUCAUAAAGCAGGUCAGCGUGGCCUGAUUGUCCCAGGACCUGAAGGGAGCAAGGAUGGCCUCAGGGCCUGGUGAAGUCUGCUACUCUGUCCUUACUGCUGAACAUCCUGCUUGUAUCAGGAAACUCAGAAGCAGUUUGCCUUGUCAAAUUCAAUCUCAAUGGCCGUUGUCCACAUAACUGAUCACCCAUGGCUGCCUCUCCUAUUAUCUAUUAUCACUGAAACUUAGUAGCCUGCUUUUUUUUUUUUUUUUAGAGCUAUUGCUUAUCUUCCCUGUUUGGGAUCCUUGUACCUGAUUUGGGUUUUCCCUUCCUUGUGACAAUUAUAAUCCAGAUGCCUCUUCUUUCUGUUUGAAUUACGGUAGUGCAUUGCCUUAGUGGCUUGCCUGUGCCUCUGGGUGGAUUACAUAUGAUAGUAAAGCCCACCUGUUUGGAUGGGAGUAGAGGAAGUUGGUGUAGACCAGCUGUGGAGCUGAAGGCACAGUCUGCCCCACCCCCACCUCCCCACUGUGGUUAGUCAGAGGCAUCCUGCUCCAAGCUCUGCUUUUCCUUCCUCUGAAACAAUGCCAUUCUUGCUUCUAUUGCUACACAUCUCCUUCUGGCUCAGGUGAAAUCCAUGCCCUUCUGCUUAUAGACCUAAAGUUCAGGUACUUAUUAUUGGCCAUUGGUCUUGAAUUUGCCCUCUCCUAGUGCUGCAGUCCCACUUCAAA